CCUACGGGGGGCAGCAGUGGGGAAUAUUGGACAAUGGGGGGAACCCUGAUCCAGCCAUGCCGCGUGUGUGAAGAAGGCCCUCGGGUUGUAAAGCACUUUCAGUGAGGAAGAACGCCUGGUGGUUAAUACCCAUCAGGAAAGACAUCACUCACAGAAGAAGCACCGGCUAACUCCGUGCCAGCAGCCGCGGUAAUACGGAGGGUGCGAGCGUUAAUCGGAAUUACUGGGCGUAAAGCGCGCGUAGGUGGCUUGAUAAGCCGGUUGUGAAAGCCCCGGGCUCAACCUGGGAACGGCAUCCGGAACUGUCAAGCUAGAGUGCAGGAGAGGAAGGUAGAAUUCCCGGUGUAGCGGUGAAAUGCGUAGAGAUCGGGAGGAAUACCAGUGGCGAAGGCGGCCUUGUGGACUGACACUGACACUGAGGUGCGAAAGCGUGGGUAGCAAACAGGAUUAGAUACCCGUGUAGUC
rnacentral:rRNA from 1 species